rnacentral:tRNA from 1 species
GGAGUUGUGCCUGAAUUAAAGGACUACUUUGAUAGAGUAAAUUAUAGGGGUUAAACUCCCCUCAACUCCU